rnacentral:lncRNA from 1 species
UAGCGCAUCAAACCCUAGCAAUUUAAGGCUAUAUAAAGGAGAUCACUAAUAGAGUACAAACAUAAUCUUAUAUACUUUUGAAGGUUCCUAGGUGAUAAGGGAUGGGGUAGUGUUGUAGUUUCAAAGAGUGUGUGAAAAGAAAAACAAUAGAAAAAGGAAGAGCAAAAAUGAAGUUCUUAUCACCAUAGAUCAUCUUCAGGGCAAAUUAAGGACAAAUCGUACUAGUGAUUGGUGUUUCACCAAUUGUAUUGGUUCUAUUCAUUUUCCUUUAACUUUGAUUAUAAUUUUAAUACGCUUUUAUCUACUUUUUACAAUUGACAGAUACAUCCAGUUUUGAACAGACAAUUUUCCAGAUGUAAGAUUCUUUGGUAUUUAUUAGGGUUUGCUAAAAAUUUUGUAGGCGUUGCUUAGAGUAAGGUGGCACGGGGAAGAAACAAUCAAAGUGAGUACUUUAUUUACUAUCAUGAUUUUUUUCUUGUUAGUUUUAUAAUUCUUAUAUAAUUAAGUUUGUUUNNNNNNNNNNNNNNNNNNNNNNNNNNNNNNNNNNNNNNNNNNNNNNNNNNNNNNNNNNNNNNNNNNNNNNNNNNNNNNNNNNNNNNNNNNNNNNNNNNNNACUUAUAAUUAUAAAUUUACUUCUUCUAUGGUAAUCUUAUUUCUUAAAUAAAAUAAAAGUAAGUCAAUUUAUGGAGUUUUAUCUUAUUGCUGAGAUGAUCAAACACACACACAUAUCAAUUACUAUAUUUUUGGUGAAGAGGUAAAUUGGUUAUUGAUUUUGGCUACAAGAACACAUUUUUUCAUUGUAUAAUAUUUUUUAUUCAUAUAUUUCAUAUGCAAAGUUGUAUCUCUUUCACCUUCUACUUUUUACGACCUUUGCAAAUCUGAAACAAAUGAAAGAAAUUAUCUCCCUUUUUAUUAUCAUAAGAUCUGAACUUAAAGGUAAUAUGUGACCUUUGUUCAACUUAGACUCUUUUUCACCCCUAUUUUUAUUCUUAUUGGAUUAUUUCAAAUAGUAAGAUUUUUGUUAAGUUACACAAUUAUAUAUAUAUAUAUAUAUGUAAUGGUUAAUAUUUUGUAAACAUUGAAUAAUUUUAUUUUUUAAUUCCAACAUGUUAUAUGCAUACUGGUGAACUAUACCUCCUCAACCAUUGUGACAUCUUCAUGUUUUCGUUAUCAUCCUCAUCACAGGAAUCCUCAAUAUCAUAUUCCGCAUGGUCAUCUUCAGAGUAAGAAUGAUUGAUCAUUACAACUGACUUCAUUAAUUAGUUAUUUUUCCCAUUUCUCUUACUCUUUUGAUCACUCCCCGCCAAUAAUUUUAACAACUCACAACCGAAAAAACUGAUGGUGAGAUAAUUGAUUUUUUAGACUCCUUGACAGAGUAUGGUUUGAUGAGUAAGAGAAAGCGAGUAUGGUUUGAUGAGUAAGUGAAAGCGGAGAAAUAACUAAGUGAUUUAUCAAGUUGUGAUCGAGAAUCAUUACUACCCUGAAGAUGACCAUGUGAGCUAUGACAUCGAGGAUUCUUGAGAUGAGAAUGAUUACGACAAUAUCAAGUGCAGAAGAAGUUAAGGAAUCAUGUGUACACCAAUAAUGCAUAUAAGAUGCAAUGUGUUUAAUUUUGUUCCCAUUUAAAAAUACAAGUAUAACAUUGUUUUAGAUAUAUUGGUAAAUGUCAUGACUAUGAAUUAAGUUAAAAAAAUACAAAAGGUUAUACAUAUAUGUAAAUGUGUGGGUCGUGCAAGUUAGGAAAUUAUACUUAUUGAAUUAGAUUAUUUUGGAAAUCAUUUUGAUUGGGAAGGGGAAAUUCUAUUAAGUGCAUUUGGAAGUUUGGUAAAGAUACAUAAAAAUUGUUAUAUCUUUCAUUGAAAAGACAUUCAUAGAGAAUUUAUUGUUGACAUGGUAAACCCGAUUCAUUACUAAAUUUUUUCUAAAUAUUUUUCUUGUAAAAUUUUAUGUAUAUUGUGAAUGACACUCACGAUAGAUAAAAUUUAUUUUGUUUUUGAACUAAUUGAACAAAACAAAGCAUGUUAUAGUACAACAAAUUGAGUAUGAAAUGAAGACAAUGUAAACAUGAAUUGAAAUAAAAAUGAUAUAAAAUUGCUAACACCGAGUAGAACACAACCACUUAUAUACCUAAUCUUGGAGUUGAUGCAUACCAAUAUCAUGAUUCGGUACAUAUUGUAUUUAGUCUUUGGUUAACAAAAUUAUUUAUUAAGGUUUGACAAUAUAUUCACUAGUGAUAAAAAAUUACAAAGACUCAUAUUGUAUUGGAAUUAAGAAUCUUCCUAAACAUAUUAAUGAGAUUAUGUGUUUUAGUAUUUUCUCUUAUCUCAUUUAUUUUCGUAUUAUUUUAUUUAAUCUAAUUUCUC